rnacentral:lncRNA from 1 species
GUACAUUUUCUAAGUUUCAUCUUUUUACCUACUUCACCGGCCAACAUCAAUAAUAGGUGUGGUUAACAUGAACUUACCCUGUGAUAAUACUAUCCCAAAUCACCGACCUUUAAAUCUAAAAAGUUACUCUUCAGCCAACAAUCAACCUUACAAUCCGUUGGACCUAUACGGUCAAACAAACCUUGCCGCCAGAGAAAAUACUGUGGCCACUCUCCUAAAGAAUUUUCCCACCACCACCAUCAGGAAUUCAACCAUACUGCCGUCAUCUGAUGAUCAACCCACACCUAACUUGAAUUCUAAUUCCGAACAAAUCUUUGAACUCUAGGAACAAAUGAAAUGAUGAAGGAACGGCUACAACAACAAUAAGAGCAGAAUUGGCAACUGACCUUACGAUCACCCCCAAUUUAUGUAAGAAUUGCGAGCAACCCGAAAUUCCCCUCAAAAAUAAUGAAGAAGCAACCUCUUCUCCUCUUGGUCACCAGCAAAAGCAUCCCGAAAAAACAAUCUUCAAAUUUUGCUACAAACACUACCAAAUGGAAUCCAUUAAAAAACUACGAACCUUAUAGUGUAUAAAAUUAGAUGAUGGAGAAUGGAAACUUUCUCCAAAUAACCUUAUGGCUUCAGAUAUCACGGUUGUAGACUUAACACCCACCUUUAGACCUCUCUUAAGCGACCCACAUGAUCACUAGUUAACAAUACAACAAUUACAUGGAUAUCAUGUGUGCCACUGAUGUGCUUAAAUGUAGAGUCUUUUUGGUAACCCUUGCAAAUCAUGCAAGGUAUCAAUCUCUAUUCUCUAGGUUAAUACACACUUUUGAACAACUACCUCGUCAAUUUAUGGGUCACUUUGUAUAAUCCUUAAAAGCCCCACAAAUAUGCUUUUAGUUAAGCAAAAUAGAGGCAAACCUCUUAGAGAAUACAUUCGUCAUUUUAACGUAGCAACAAUGGUAACCAAAAACUUAAGUGAUGAGUGGGCAACCCAAGCCUUUAUAUCUGGUGUAGAGCAUGAGUACCUAAAAUAUGCUUUAACAAAUGAAAAGCCUGAUAAACUUUACAGUUUGUAUGAAAAAGCUAACAUGUACAUGGAAAUAGUAUAAAUAGUACGUCAAACACACCUCACCCACAUCAUGAUUCAACGUAGGACAAAUUCGACUGUCCCAGACGAGGUAGACCUAGAAGUAGAGACAUACCAGCGUGAGCUUUUAAUUCAGAAGUCCACAUGGGAGGAACGGUUCCCUCAGUCAUCUCAAUCCAUGAAACAUCAUGAAUCAAACCAGUUAUCCUGGAGGCUAAGCAAGUAGAUAGAGCUUCGUAUGAAAGGUUUUGACUCGAACGCCCCUUUAAAUGCUUCCAAAGCUUCUAUACUUAAUCAAGUCAAGGGGCAAGGAAUUCUUAAGCAACCACUUCCAAUGAGGUCCAGUCAGUUAAGGUGACUGUCCUUUGAGCAUUGUCAAUUCCAUAAUUAUAUUGGGCAUUAGACAAAAAAAACUGUCUAUUUGAAAGACACCAUUGAAAGUGCAAUUCGACAUGGUAAGUUGAAAUAGUUUAUAGGCCAAGACCUUCAACAGCCUCCUCAACACAAUCCAUGAGCUUCCUGAAGAGGCAA